rnacentral:rRNA from 1 species
GGAUAACUCCGGGAAACCGGAGCUAAUACCGGAUAGUUCCUUGAACCGCAUGGUUCAAGGAUGAAAGACGGUUUCGGCUGUCACUUACAGAUGGACCCGCGGCGCAUUAGCUAGUUGGUGGGGUAAUGGCUCACCAAGGCGACGAUGCGUAGCCGACCUGAGAGGGUGAUCGGCCACACUGGGACUGAGACACGGCCCAGACUCCUACGGGAGGCAGCAGUAGGGAAUCUUCCGCAAUGGACGAAAGUCUGACGGAGCAACGCCGCGUGAGUGAUGAAGGUUUUCGGAUCGUAAAGCUCUGUUGUUAGGGAAGAACAAGUGCGAGAGUAACUGCUCGCACCUUGACGGUACCUAACCAGAAAGCCACGGCUAACUACGUGCCAGCAGCCGCGGUAAUACGUAGGUGGCAAGCGUUGUCCGGAAUUAUUGGGCGUAAAGGGCUCGCAGGCGGUUUCUUAAGUCUGAUGUGAAAGCCCCCGGCUCAACCGGGGAGGGUCAUUGGAAACUGGGAAACUUGAGUGCAGAAGAGGAGAGUGGAAUUCCACGUGUAGCGGUGAAAUGCGUAGAGAUGUGGAGGAACACCAGUGGCGAAGGCGACUCUCUGGUCUGUAACUGACGCUGAGGAGCGAAAGCGUGGGGAGCGAACAGGAUUAGAUACCCUGGUAGUCCACGCCGUAAACGAUGAGUGCUAAGUGUUAGGGGGUUUCCGCCCCUUAGUGCUGCAGCUAACGCAUUAAGCACUCCGCCUGGGGAGUACGGUCGCAAGACUGAAACUCAAAGGAAUUGACGGGGGCCCGCACAAGCGGUGGAGCAUGUGGUUUAAUUCGAAGCAACGCGAAGAACCUUACCAGGUCUUGACAUCCUCUGACAACCCUAGAGAUAGGGCUUUCCCUUCGGGGACAGAGUGACAGGUGGUGCAUGGUUGUCGUCAGCUCGUGUCGUGAGAUGUUGGGUUAAGUCCCGCAACGAGCGCAACCCUUGAUCUUAGUUGCCAGCAUUUAGUUGGGCACUCUAAGGUGACUGCCGGUGACAAACCGGAGGAAGGUGGGGAUGACGUCAAAUCAUCAUGCCCCUUAUGACCUGGGCUACACACGUGCUACAAUGGACAGAACAAAGGGCUGCGAGACCGCAAGGUUUAGCCAAUCCCAUAAAUCUGUUCUCAGUUCGGUACGUUCAUAGGUA